rnacentral:rRNA from 1 species
AUGGUCAGCGACGGCUACACCCAGCGCAUGGUCAGUGCAUUCGAAUACGGCGGUUGCUCGGACCGUACGCUGGAGGCUUGGUUCUUCGAGCUCGACGUGGACUGGGUUCUCCAAAUCCCCGAGGGCGAUGGCUCAUGGCGGCAGCUCCAGCUUCAAGACUUGGUCAAGAAGUGGAUUCGAGCAUUCAUCACAACCGUCGCCAGUAUCAAAGAGGUGGCCAUCAACGUCCACGAGGCGAUGGCGGUCGCACAGUUUGGCAAGGCAAGCAUCGCCAAGAUGCUCGAGCUCGUCUUCAUCGACACCAUCACCCCUGCAAGUAAGGAGGAGAAGCUACGGGCUGCGCUAGACAUGUAUAUAUGCGUCUCGAGUGCAGAACAAAUGUUUUCGCCGGAAGUCCAACUCAAAUUCAAGGGCUUGAGCAAGAAAAUAUUCAUGGACAUAGGCGGCUCGUUGCCCAGAGAAGUGAAGAGGUUGAGCAAGGCCAUAUACAGCACGGUAAUGGAGGUGAGGGCAUUCGUGGAGGAGGACGACUCGUGGGCCAUCGAGAUACCAAGAGGAAGAGGCGACAUCCACAGGAACACUUGGUUGAUGGUGAAUUGCAUCAAGUCCAUGCAAGAUAAAGCACGGCACCACGAAACCGAAUACCUCCGUGGCCUAAUAGAUGAUUCCGUCCGUUAUCUCAAGGAUCUGCUCUCGAGGAAGUCGGAGCUAUGCGCGGACCAAAGCCUGAGGUACCUGUUCCUGCUCAAUAAUUCCUACUUGGUGGCAAUGAUGGUUGAGCCAUGGUCGCUCAUGGUUGAGUCAUGGUCUAGACACGAGUGGAGACCUGCCCCCGAAUGCCUAAAGUACAUGAAUGAAUAUCUCGAUGUUUCUUGGAGGCAUGUGCAGUCCCACAUGCCGAAAACGGUCUUCAUAGAUGGCUAUCUUGAUGGUUCUCGACGUCGGCUACAUAUGUUGUUCGGCAUGCUUGCACCGCUCCAGCAUCGGAAGAACGCCGCUUCACUGGCAAAAUUCGAGUCCGCGUUUCAGAAAACUUACGCGGCCCAGAAGUUCUGGAAGGUACCGAAUCCUCAGCUCAGAGAUGAGCUGCGGAGAACAAUCAUAGAGAGAGUCGUCUCAGGUUACCGCUGCUACCUGGAGAAGCAUCCGAAGCUUGAGAAACAGGUUAGGGGCGGAAGCAGCAGCCCCGACGUGUUAGAGGAGAUGCUGGGAGAGCUAUUUGAAGGAUAA